GCUUUAGCUCAGUGGUAGAGCACUUGCUUUGGGUGCAGAAGGUCCCUGGUUCAGUGACUGCUAGAUGCCAGGAUGACCG